GGCCCCGUUUGGAGAGCAGAUGACCCAUUCCGGCAACCCCGGGCCCUGUGAUUACGGUCCUGGUUCUCGAAGGGGGGGUCCUGCUGCCAGUCCCAAGAAACCUGAUGAUAACGGCUCCAGCGCGUCAGUGAAAUUCACCACUUUUAGUCCGUGAGUCACAAACUUCGCUACAUUUGCUGACUUGUGCGACCGUCAGCAGAGCCGAGUUUCAAAACGUUUCCGUCCUCUCGGUGAGAUCUUUUGUCCACGUCCACACUUCAUCCCCAUCACAACCUUCAACCCCGGGCGGCCGCGGAUUUACUUUGUCUCUACAGAUUUUCCUUUUCUGGGCAUGUCACGUAAAGGAAAUCGUACGCCGCGUGGUCUUUUGGCCUCCGUUGCCUGAUAGGUUGUCCAGCUUCCUUCCCACCGUAGCGUGUAGCAGCAAAUUCGGUCCUUUUUAUCGCACUUUGUGUCAUCCGAAUGCCUUCUGACCUCCACCGUUUUUAAAGACAAUCAGAUUGUGGUUUUCCGGUACAUAAUGAAAAAUUUUGUUGCUGACCGCAUCAAGACUUCAUCCGUGAUGACAUGGUUCAUGGCUACAAUCUUCAUGAUGUGCCUAGGUCCGGUCCGUGGAAUAUCAUUGAUGUAAAUGAACCAGCAUCAUGGCCUGGUAAGGGAGAGACAAGCAAAGUCCCCAGGGAGAAGAUUGUGGCGUGGCUAGAGAGUUGGAUACACCCCGGAGGUCAGGCGACGGUAAUGGAUUACAGGCUAAAAUCAAAUUUGUUUGUUGGUCUUUACUAACAGCUACAGAGAAAAAGGCAUAUUCACCAGCUAAACAGUAACGGACCAGGUAUCAAUCAGCGUGUCGAUUUGCUCCACAAUGAAACCACCCCUGGAAAGCAGCUGCAAAUCAGACCCAACAUGUGAUUAAGUUUAUAAUGGUUUACUGUCAUUCUCCAGGACCCACCUAUGUCCUUCUCAGACCAAAUAGACGUUGAAAGAAGAUACUGUGGCAAUCUUCCCUCCCGCACCUUUCAAGUCCUUGAUGUUGGCACGGAUCUCUGCAACCCCUCCACUAACAACACAGAAUGACUUUUGGUGUACUUUUUUCAGAGAUAGAGGCAGUUCUAGUGACUUCCGGCUGGCCUUUCCCGCCAUAAUAGACACCACUCCAUGGGUCCGAGAGUCGAUUUGGGGGUCCUGACGCUGGUUGGGUGCGUCUAUUCCAAUUACGCGUCCCAAGACCUGGGAGAAAACCGGAAGGUGGGUUCGGAGACCACUGGGCCCAUUAUGAGAUAGACUUGAAUAAAAUUUCACUGAUCACUCAACUUCCACCUGGCAGGCCAC